rnacentral:lncRNA from 1 species
ACAGGGGUCACCCGUUAGUUCAGGCUUGACACCCUUAGUCCUUUGGACAUUUAUAAAUUUAGUGGAUCAACACAGCCAACAUUAGUACCCAUGGCAUGAUAUUAACACCCUUCCAAUUGGGGUAACAGGUUGGACCCAAAUUAGCUCAAAUUAGGGAAUGUUGGUUAGAUGAUACCUCCCACAGUCUCAGAUAUAGUCUCAGUUAUAGUCCUAGCUCAGUUAUUCAGUCUUAGUGUUGUUUGACCAAAGCAUACAACAUUUAUUUAUUC